AUUGAACGCUGGCGGCAUGCCUUACACAUGCAAGUCGAACGGUAGCGCGGGGGCAACCCUGGCGACGAGUGGCGAACGGGUGAGUAAAGUAUCGGAACGUGCCCUAGAGUGGGGGAGUAACUAGUCGAAAGACUAGCUAAUACCGCAUACGAUCUAUGGAUGAAAGUGGGGGAUCGCAAGACCUCAUGCUCAUGGAGCGGCCGAUAUCUGAUUAGCUAGNGGUAGGGUAAAAGACCUACCAAGGCGACGAUCAGUAGCUGGUCUGAGAGGACGGACCAGCCACACUGGGACUGAGACACGGCCCAGACUCCUACGGGAGGCAGCAGUGGGGAAUUUUGGACAAUGGGGGCAACCCUGAUCCAGCAAUGCC
rnacentral:rRNA from 1 species